CCUACGGGUGGCUGCAGUGGGGAAUAUUGGACAAUGGGGGGAACCCUGAUCCAGCCAUGCCGCGUGUGUGAAGAAGGCCCUCGGGUUGUAAAGCACUUUCAGUGAGGAAGAACGCCUGGUGGUUAAUACCCAUCAGGAAAGACAUCACUCACAGAAGAAGCACCGGCUAACUCCGUGCCAGCAGCCGCGGUAAUACGGAGGGUGCGAGCGUUAAUCAGAAUUACUGGGCGUAAAGCGCGCGUAGGUGGCUUGAUAAGCCGGUUGUGAAAGCCCCGGGCUCAACCUGGGAACGGCAUCCGGAACUGUCAAGCUAGAGUGCAGGAGAGGAAGGUAGAAUUCCCGGUGAGCGGUGAAAUGCGUAGAGAUCGGGAGGAAUACCAGUGGCGAAGGCGGCCUUCUGGACUGACACUGACACUGAGGUGCGAAAGCGUGGGUAGCAAACAGGAUUAGAUACCCGGGUAGUC
rnacentral:rRNA from 1 species